AAGUCAGGUAGUAAGGGCGCAGGGCGGAUGCCUUGGCUCUGGGAAGCGAAGAAGGACGUGGCUAGCUGCGAUAAGCCUCGGGGAAGAGCAAACAUCUUUUGAUCCGUGGAUUUCCGAAUGGGGUAACCCGCAUGGCUGUUGAGGCCAUGCACUGUUGAGUGAAUACAUAGCUCAUCAGAGCGAACUCGGGGAACUGAAACAUCUCAGUACCCGAAGGAAUAGAAAUCAACCGAGAUUCUGCUAGUAGCGGCGAGCGAACGCGGAAGAGCCCAAACCAUCAGGUGCGCCUGAUGGGGUUGUAGGGCCGUCAAUAAAGGAUAAUUGGAGAAUUAGUUGAAGUGUCUGGGAAGGCACGGCAUAGAGGGUUAGACCCCCGUAAGCGAAAGUUUGAAGAUGUCCGAGACGGUACCUGAGUAGGACGGGACACGAGAAAUCCCGUUUGAAUCUGGGGGGACCACCCUCCAAGGCUAAAUAUUACCCAGAGACCGAUAGUGAACCAGUACCGUGAGGGAAAGGUGAAAAGCACCUCGAAUAGAGGAGUGAAAUAGAUCCUGAAACCCUGUGUCUACAAGCAGUGGAAGCACGUCAUUAGAGGCUAGUUUCUAGGUUCUAGAUGUCAGAUGCUAGAGGCUAGAGAAACUCACAUUUUAUUUUGGAGAUGUUGUGUUUUUCUAGGAUUUAGUAUGAAGAAUCUAGCAACUGGAGUCUAGCAUCUAGCCUCUAAACAGUGCGACCGCGUGCCUUUUGCAUAAUGAGCCAACGAGUUGUCUGUCGGUGGCAGGUUAAGUUUAUAACGAAGCCACAGCGAAAGCGAGUUCGAAAUGAGCGUUAGUCAUCGGCAACAGACCCGAAACCGAGUGAUCUACCCCUGUCCAGGUUGAAGCCUGGGUAAGACCAGGUGGAGGACCGAACCGUUGAGCCUUAAAACGUUCUCGGAUGAGGUGGGGGUAGGAGUGAAAGGCUAAUCAAACUCGGAGAUAGCUGGUUCUCCCCGAAAUAUAUUUAGGUAUAGCCUCGUGAUAGACCGCCGGAGGUAGAGCACUGGAUGGACUAGGGCCCUCACCAGGGUACCAAACCCAACCAAACUGCGAAUACCGGCGAGUUGUUUCACGGGAGUCAGACAGCGGGAGCUAACUUUCGUUGUCGAAAGGGAAACAACCCAGACCAUCAGCUAAGGCCCCCAAGUCAUGACUAAGUGGGAAAGGAAGUGGGAGCGCCCAGACAACCAGGAGGUUGGCUUAGAAGCAGCCACCCUUUAAAGAAAGCGUAACAGCUCACUGGUCGAGCGAGCCUGCACCGAAAAUUUAACGGGGCUCAAGUCAUGCGCCGAAGCUAUGGGAUUUAUAUUUAUAUAAAUCGGUAGGGGAGCGUUCCCUGUGCAGUGAAGCUGAAUCGAAAGGGUCAGUGGAGCGCAGGGAAGUGAGGAUGUUGGCAUAAGUAACGAAAAUGUGGGCGAGAAACCCACACGCCGAAAGCCCAAGGUUUCCCGGGCCAUGUUAUUCAGCCCGGGGUUAGUCGGCACCUAAGACGAGGCCGAAAGGCGUAGUCGAUGGAAAACCGGUUCAUAUUCCGGUACUUGCAUGUGCGCGUGAUGGAGGGACGCAGGAGGAUAGGCCGGCCUGGUGAUGGAUAUCCAGGUUCAAGGCCGUAGGCGGAAGUCUCAGGAAAAUCCGGGACUUUAUCUAACGCCGAGAGUCGAUGACGAGAGGCUUUGCUUCGCAAAGCGGUCGAUUCCACACUGCCAAGAAAAGCUUCUAAGCAUAGCAGAUGCAAACCGUACCCCAAACCGACACAGGUGGGCGGGUAGAGAAUACCAAGGCGCUUGAGGGAAAUCAUGUUAAGGAACUCUGCAAAAUAACUCCGUAACUUCGGAAGAAGGAGUGCCUGCAGCGGUGAAGGGACUUGCUCCUGGAGCUUAAGCGGGCCGCAGUGACCAGGCCCAGCCGACUGUUUAGCAAAAACACAGCACUCUGCUAAAUCGCAAGAUGAUGUAUAGGGUGUGACGCCUGCCCGGUGCCGGAAGGUUAAUGGGAGGGGUUACCCCGCUUCUAAAUGGUUUUUUGAUUAAAAACGCAAAUGCAUUAUGUUUAUAUCAUACAUAGUGAUAAUGACCAGUUCUACAUUGGUUAUAGUUCUGAUUUAAGAGCAAGGAUAACUGCUCAUAAUGAAGGACAAACCAAGUCAACAAGAGGACGAAUAUGGAAAUUAGUUUACUAUGAAGCAUAUCUGGAUGAGAAAAGUGCUCGUCACAGAGAGAGAAUGUUAAAACAUGAUGGUCGCACUCGUCGAUAUUUGAUGGAGCGAGUUAAAGAAAGCGUAAAGAAUCAUUUAGUAGCGGGGGAAGCUCCGAACUGAAGCCCCGGUAAACGGCGGCCGUAACUAUAACGGUCCUAAGGUAGCGAAAUUCCUUGUCGGGUAAGUUCCGACCU
rnacentral:rRNA from 1 species